UCACUUUGGCAGUGUACAGAAAUAGGGACGAUACAGAGACAGUAGCAUGAGCCUGAACAAGGAAGACACACAAAUUUGUGGAACGUUCCAUAUUACU
rnacentral:snRNA from 1 species